AGUUUUGCUUUGACUUUGCUAGUCAUUGUUGUCAUGGUAUUGCACUUUCUAGUACAGAGGGGAAAGAAAGAGGUAGAGCGGAAGGAGAUGGAGGAAAUGCAAGAUGGCCAGAGAGAGCAGGGAAAGAAAUAAGCAAAGAUGCUUUCUGAUUUAAUCCUGAGUUUAAUUAAAUACCCACGGAAAUCCUAUUAUGUGCCAUUUUAAAAUUGUGCACACUGCCUUAUUAGGCCCACUAGAAUAAUCUAAAAGUGAUGUUGCUAGUAUUUCUAAUUAAAACCAAAAGAUUAGUUUGUGACUGCUUGCACACACUAAUUUGUUUUUAAUAAAUUGCUAUAUUUGGCUAAAAACAUUCACAACCUACAAGUUUAUUUUUGCCAAAGAUGAGUCUUUGUAAAGACUUUUAGAGUUGAGCUUUUCUAUGAAGAACAAUGCUUUGGGGACAGAGGCUAGGUAGCUAAGACAUCAGAAUUUAGAAUACAAAGAUGAUAAUUCAAAUAAGUUAUGAGAAGCAUUCAAUAAGUGGUAUGGGGCAACUGGUUAAUAUUCAAUCUGGGGAAAACAAUUUAAGAUGUCAGCCAAUGUUUUGCAUGAUAUAAAUCUUAUUUUAGUAUAAUACAUUGAUUAUAAUUAAAGCAUAAUAUCUUGAUGUUCUGAAUUCUAGAUUCCGCAAAGGAAGUGAACAAUCGUACCUCUAAAAAAGUUUUGCCACUGUAGAAAGUUUCUUCUUUACACACUCAAAAUCGUUUUAAAAUACAGCUAUUGACUUCAGAAACAUUCUAGUAGAAAUUUCUAGUGCUUACCACAUGUCUGGUUCUCCUCUGCUUUCAGGCACAUACAUUUGGUGGGCAAAGUGAAUACUUGUAGCCGAU
rnacentral:lncRNA from 1 species